UUUCAGCUCUUAAGAGAUUUGGGUUGCACAAACUUCAAGUCUAAAAGGAAAGGUCACCAUGAGUUGCAGUGACUUGGCAUUGUCCUGGGCUUUGCAGCUUCAGUGCCUGAGCCCUUCAAGGGCAUUAAAGGAUGUGUCUUUUUGGCUACUGCUCUGCUGGAGCUGAAACUUUCCCAAAACUCACAGCUAAGCAGUUCAGUGUGUGUUGCGUGGGACAGCUACAGAAUUCCAAUUACUGCAACAGGACUGUUUUCUUGCAAAUUUGUGUGGGCGCACAGUCAUGAGAUGUGUGAGGGACCACAGUAUACUGCCUACAAACAAAUGGCUGCAGUGCAUGAAAUUGUCCAGGGACAUUAUCCUACACUGGAAGGAAAGUGUAUGCAGGUUUACCUGAAGAAGCAGCAACUUUCGUGAGGGAGCUGGGAACCUUGAGCUGUAUUUUCCUUGGGGAAUAUGUGGGUGUCUUCAUGAGUUUUGUCACACUAUCUGAGUUCUGUGAUAAGGUAAGAAUUUCCAGGCAUCUAUUUGGUUACAUAAAUGACACAAACAGCCUUAUUGUUUGAAAAGCACAGUAACCCUCAACAAUCCACUAAUUAUGUUCACAACUUUCUGAAAUGAACUAUUCUGCAAUUAUGGGUUAUAUUUAAUGUUUCUAUGAGAACACUUUGCUAUAUUCU
rnacentral:lncRNA from 1 species